rnacentral:rRNA from 1 species
UCGAGAAUCUUCGGCAAUGAGCGCAAGCUUGACCGAGCGACGCCGCGUGCGGGAUGAAGGCCUUCGGGUUGUAAACCGCUGUCGUAGGGGAGGAAGGCUCCGUGAAGAGCGGGGUUUGACCUAUCCUAGGAGGAAGGACGGGCUAAGUUCGUGCCAGCAGCCGCGGUAAUACGAACCGUCCAAACGUUAUUCGGAAUUACUGGGCUUAAAGGGUAUGUAGGCGGCGCUGUUAGUCGGGUGUGAAAGCCCUCGGCUCAACCGAGGAAUUGCGCCCGAUACUGCAGUGCUUGAGGGAGACAGAGGUAAGCGGAACUGAUGGUGGAGCGGUGAAAUGCGUUGAUAUCAUCAGGAACACCAGUGGCGAAAGCGGCUUACUGGGUCUCUUCUGACGCUGAGAUACGAAAGCUAGGGGAGCGAAGGGGAUUAGAUACCCCGUAGUCCUAGCUGUAAACGUUGAGCACUUGAUCGGGGACCCCCCAUAGGUUCUCGGUCGUAGCGAAAGUGUUAAGUG